rnacentral:rRNA from 1 species
CCUACGGGAGGCAGCAGUGAGGAAUAUUGGUCAAUGGACGAGAGUCUGAACCAGCCAAGUAGCGUGAAGGAUGACUGCCCUAUGGGUUGUAAACUUCUUUUAUAUGGGAAUAAAAUGUUCCACGUGUGGGAUUUUGUAUGUACCAUAUGAAUAAGGAUCGGCUAACUCCGUGCCAGCAGCCGCGGUAAUCCGGAGGAUCCGAGCGUUAUCCGGAUUUAUUGGGUUUAAAGGGAGCGUAGGUGGAUUGUUAAGUCAGUUGUGAAAGUUUGCGGCUCAACCGUAAAAUUGCAGUUGAAACUGGCAGUCUGGAGUACAGGAGAGGUGGGCGGAAUUCGUGGUGUAGCGGUGAAAUGCGUAGAUAUCACGAAGAACUCCGAUUGCGAAGGCAGCUCACUGGACUGCAACUGACACUGAGGCUCGAAAGUGUGGGUAUCAAACAGGAUUAGAUACCCCAGUAGUC